rnacentral:misc_RNA from 1 species
CUGAAACUAUGGUUGAAGGAACAUUAGAUGGCUUCUCAUUUGAUUCCGAAGACGAGGCUGAGAAAAUAACUAAAGUUGCUUCUUGUCCAACUGAGCAAAAUGAGCCUGUAGAAGGUCUCAACACAAAAUCCAAAAACAAAGCCGAGAAAUCAUCAGGGCGGAAGCGUGUUAGAAAUGGAGGAAAGCUGCAGGCACCGAAGAAAACAAGGAAG